rnacentral:lncRNA from 1 species
AAGAGGGGAACUCCUAAUGUGGUUUUAUUUUCUUUUCCCUUAUCUCUUGUAUGUUUAGGAAUUUAACCCUUCCUUUCCUUUUUUCUUUUUUUUCCCCAUUCUAACCCAAGCCAAAACUUUUUGUGCAAAUAAUAACUUUUGUUUUCAACAUUAGAAACCUAAGCCUUAUGCUUUUGAUUUUCAAACUUAUUUUUCAUAACACUUAUUUUGAAUUGAACCUUUUAAUCCACUUUAACCAUAUUUUUGUAAAU